rfam:Picea glauca, whole genome shotgun sequence.
GUCUACAACAUAACGUUAUUGCACUGGAUCCCAUUAUAAAUUCACAGUUAAGCAUGCUCAAGAUAGAGUAGUACUGGGAUGGGUGACCACUUGGGAAGUCCUAGUGUUUUACAUC